UACGGGGGGGGCAAGCGUUGUUCGGAAUUACUGGGCGUAAAGGGCUCGUAGGCGGCCAACUAAGUCGGACGUGAAAUCCCCAGGCUCAACCUGGGAACUGCGUCCGAUACUGGAUGGCUUGAAUCCGGGAGAGGGAUGCAGAAUUCCAGGUGUAGCGGUGAAAUGCGUAGAUAUCGGGAGGAACACCAGUGGCGAAGGCGGCUUCCUGGCCUGUUCUUGACGCUGAGGCGCGAAAGCUAGGGGAGCAAACGGG
rnacentral:rRNA from 1 species